rnacentral:rRNA from 1 species
AACGAACGCUGGCGGCAGGCUUAACACAUGCAAGUCGAGCGCCCCGCAAGGGGAGCGGCAGAUGGGUGAGUAACGCGUGGGAAUCUACCCAUCCCUACGGAACAACUCCGGGAAACUGGAGCUAAUACCGCAUACGCCCUUCGGGGGAAAGAUUUAUCGGAGAUGGAUGAGCCCGCGUUGGAUUAGCUAGUUGGUGGGGUAAAGGCCUACCAAGGCGACGAUCCAUAGCUGGUCUGAGAGGAUGAUCAGCCACACUGGGACUGAGACACGGCCCAGACUCCUACGGGAGGCAGCAGUGGGGAAUAUUGGACAAUGGGCGCAAGCCUGAUCCAGCCAUGCCGCGUGAGUGAUGAAGGCCCUAGGGUUGUAAAGCUCUUUCACCGAUGAAGAUAAUGACGGUAGUCGGAGAAGAAGCCCCGGCUAACUUCGUGCCAGCCGCCGCGGUAACAC